UUCCUAGUAGCUCAGAGGGUACAGUGUCUGCCUGCAAUGCAGGAGGCCUUGGUUUGAUCCCUAGAUAGGGAA
rnacentral:tRNA from 1 species